rnacentral:rRNA from 1 species
UACGGAGGGAGCUAGCGUUAUUCGGAAUUACUGGGCGUAAAGCGCACGUAGGCGGCUUGGUAAGUAAGAGGUGAAAGCCCAGAGCUCAACUCUGGAAUUGCCUUUUAGACUGCAUCGCUUGAAUCAUGGAGAGGUCAGUGGAAUUCCGAGUGUAGAGGUGAAAUUCGUAGAUAUUCGGAAGAACACCAGUGGCGAAGGCGGCUGACUGGACAUGUAUUGACGCUGAGGUGCGAAAGCGUGGGGAGCAAACAGG